rnacentral:misc_RNA from 1 species
UGGUUCUGGCAUNGAUGAAGAACGCAGCGAAAUGCGAUAAGUAAUGUGAAUUGCAGAAUUCAGUGAAUCAUCGAAUCUUUGAACGCACAUUGCACCUCUUGGUAUUCCUUGAGGUACGCCUGUUUGAGCGCCGUUUAACACCUAAAGCUUUGCUUUGUGUUGAGCCUUCUGAAUUUGUCAGGGGCUUUAAAUCCAGUGGUUCAUCCUAGCAUGGGUCUAGCAACAAACCUGCUAUAAACUGCAAAGGAUGAACGCUAAAAAACGAUCGCAUGGCCUCAGAUCAGGCGGGGCUACCCGCUGA